GUGGAACCUUAUUAAACCCUGCAUUAAUUCACUGAGAGAAAUAAAACACAAGGGUUUGAUGAUGGCUUAGUGAAAAUAAUCCCUUCUUCAUCGAGUUUGGAGGGCAGAUCCUCACAUGGAAAUGCCAGAUUUGCGCUGUGAGCAAGGAGGGAUGUAAAGGGAAUACGUUCUUGUAGGGUGCGGUACAUAAAGAAAAUCCCUUUCUUCAAGUGCAUCAGGUUGUGGUGUGAGAUGGCAAAGUGAGGUAGAGAGAACUGAAGGCUUGGGGCAGCCUCAAUGGGCUCUGCAGAGAGCUCAUCAUACUGCACAGCUGGGCCUGUUUCAACGUAAAUAGCAUUAAAUACAUGAAGUAAGACAGCUGAGGAAACUGCAGGGACAUGGCUGGGAGCACUGAGGGAAGGCUGGGUUGCCUCCUGUCUGAUCUGACCCCACAGCCGGAGCCAUUACCCUAAAUCCUUUCCUGACACUGCCUGGGUUGCUCCUUUCCCUCCAGCACUUCCACUCUCAGGAACAGAUUUGCAUUUCCGAACUGCUUGUUUCGCCUGUGGCAGAGAGUUCUUAUUUGUAAGUAAUAAUGUCAUGCUGGAUUUGUGACACGAGCUUUUGCAAUCCCUUUGUUGUGCAAAUGCAGGCAAAUAACUGAGGUAAGCCAAUUGGCUUCAGCAGGAUUACCAGUAAGAGAACAGAGUGCUAUGUCAGAUGCAUAAAUAUUGCUCUCAGGAGCAGAUUCUGCAAUUGAGGACAGCUUGAAUUUGUAAGGAAGAUGUACAUUCUAAAAAGGAACGCUGAAGAGAGAAGAUAAACUGCAUGCUAUAAUUGGUGUUGCAGACAGUGUUUUUAGCCAUCAAAGGGAGCACUGAAGCAGUUCUAGUACUUUCCAGUGUUUUCUUCCCUAAUGUCACUCACUGCAUGAAUUCCUGUUCAUAAGGAAGUGGAUUCAGUGAUCUUCAAGGAAUUGUUACCUGUAUAGUUUUGCUGGUUCAUGGCUCUGACAUCAUAGGUUUGAUCUGCAGUCCCUGAGCUUGUCUCCACUGAUGGCAUCACCUGCUGUGAAUGUUUGUGGAAUGAAAGCUGCAGCUCCAGGAUUUUAGCUUACGGUAGAGUUUUGGUGAUGGUCACAGUUCUGUGCAGCCACAAGUGGAUGUGCAAGGAAUGUAGGCCAGGAAUGGUCCUCAGAAAGCACAAGGCUCUGCAUAAGGCUCUGCUUACAUCUGAUAUAUCUAAGUGAGUUUCAAAAACAUGGUAUUUCACCACCUUCUCAGAUGCUGUGAUGCUCCCUUUCUCGUUGGAGAUGGCUCUGACAACGUCUUCCUCAAAGUCACCGGUAGCUUUCUUAACAC